GUAGACUAAAGCUUGUUGGAUUGAGCGUUUAGUGUUAACUAAAAGGUCGCGGGGUUAGAGCCUGCUAGUCUAG
rnacentral:tRNA from 1 species